UUUUACAGCUAUUUCAAUUGUCAUCAUCCUUGUUUUCCAAAUUGCAUAAAUUGUAGGGCUGUAGGAACGUUGUAUUCUCCAUGUAUCCCCACUAUGAACGGCAACACAGAGUGUAGAAGACAUUUUAGAGGCACAGAGGAAGUAAAGUAAAUGGAAAGAUGCCAGAAAACAUACACACGCUGAGGGAUGUUUUACGUUAUCUGUAGCAAUGAGAGGGCGGUUUGGGUUUGAGUUCCUGCCAAACUUGAGCCUCCACACACAGCUCCCCAAGCAGCAGCUGCUCAAACUGAUUGCAGCACAAAACAGCUGACUUUGAACUUCCAGACCUUUUCGUCAACACUGGAACAGCUGCGGCUGAAAAGAAUGAAAGUCCUGUACCCGUCGUCCAGCUGGCUAGCGGUGUAAACUUUUCCUAAUACGGAGCUGUGAUGGUUCGGACUGUCGCCUCGCAGCAAGGAGUUCCUUAACCACCCAGCGGCCUUUCUGUGUGGAGUCUGCAUGUUCUCCCCGUGUCGGCGUGGUUUCUCUGCGGGUACCCCGACUUCCUUCCACAGUCUAAAGACAUGCUGCGGGUGUCGUGUUAAUGAGCCGUAGGUGUGUGAAUGUGACGGUUGUUCGUGUCAAUGUGGCGGCCCUGCGAUUGACUGGCACCUCUCGCCUGAUGUUAGCUGGGAUUGACUCCAGCAACCCCUGUGACGUGACGUCACACUUGACUGCACUAAAUUCUCUUAAUAGCAUUGCUACUAUUACUAGUCUUCACAUAUGAGAGUAAUCCCAUAAGGCAUUUUACAAAUUAUUCAUCCAUAUGUCAGCAUAAUGUAUCUGACAUUGAAAAUCAUGCACACAGAGGUGCUGAGACGAACACACACACAUACAGCUUGAUAUUUAUUUGACGGAUCGUAUAUCUUUUUGCCCUAUUUUCAUGAGAGGAAAAUCCAAUUAUGUUUAAUAAUCUACGUCACUAAAACAUCCAAUGGAGAAUUGAGCAGAAACAGUUAAAAGAGAGAGGGAGACCCUGAGAGCGAAAAACACACAUUCCAAAUUGCAGACAUCCAAAUUCACUAAACACACAGACUCAAACACACAAAGGGUCAACUGUUAAAAGCUGUAUGCUAUUUUCUCCAUUUUAUGAACAUUAUUUAAGCAUAUACAGUUGAAAUUGAGAGAAAUAGAUCUUCUCCUUACAACAUUACCAUAAAAAGUCAAACAUCAUCAAUGUUUAGCCGUAGCUUGCUAGCUACUAAACUACUAAAACUCUAUGAUCUUAUGUGGUUUUAAGAGCAAAAGCGGCAUUUGACCACUAAUCUCAUGUUGUGUUAAAGCUUCUCUGACCCAAAGCUCUACAGCUACCCACCAAGAAACAAAGAAAAGCCUCGUUAUGUCAUUGCGGUGUUGACUCAAGAGGGCAGCAGCACAUCCAUUGAACCUGCCUCCAUUUCUGCUGCAGGUGUUUGUCUGAGGAGGAGCCUGAACACACACCUUUACACCUCUGUGUGCGCAUCCACUUCUUUCAACUGCUAAUCUCUUCUACUGCUGUUGGGUUCAAGCCUCAGUCUGGACUAAAAAGUCUUUUUAGCACGGACACAGUUUCAGGUGUAUCAGGUGUUGUUAGGGCAGCUUGAGAGAGUAAGAGAUGGGAGGAAGAAAUAAGAGACGGAGAAAAAGAGGAAAAAUUGAUCAAGGAAAAGAAAAGGGAGGGAUGAGAGAGACCAAAGAGAGGGAGGUGAGAGAAGUGUAAAGAGAGUGCAGAUGAUGUGAGGGAUGGAAAAGGGGGCGAGCUAAAUGGAGACCGAGAAUGUAAUUUUGGAUCUAGGCAAAAGAAAGAGAUGAGAAGAGAAGAGUAGAAGCGGAGGAACGUAAAAUCAAAGAAGAGGGAGCGAUGAGACGGAAACACAACGAAGAAGAAAAGAGAGAGAAUGAGAAUAGAGGAGAAAGUCAUUGAUCUUGAAAAUAAAAUGAGGAACGGUGAGGAAAAGGAAAGUCGAUGGAGAGAUAACGGUUUAAUGGGUGAGAAAGAAAGGAGACAGAGUGAGAGAGAGAGAUGUUAUCGACCAUAUGAAAGUGCUGUAAUGUCGCCCCCCCCACACACACACACACACACACACAUUUUAUUUUCCCUCUAAUUUGAUUAAAACUCCUCCUCCCCGUCUGCAGGUUGUCAGCCGUGUCACUCAACAUACCGGCUCUGUUGCGUUACACGGCACAUCUGUUCAUACCAGGAUACAUUUUUCCAUUUGUGAAACUAAGUUCUGGCGAUAUUGGAUUUUCCCCUACUGAUGAUGUUUCUUUUGGAAAAACA